GACGAACGCUGGCGGCGUGCUUAACACAUGCAAGUCGAACGGUAAGGCCCUUCGGGGUACACGAGUGGCGAACGGGUGAGUAACACGUGGGUGAUCUGCCCUGCACUUCGGGAUAAGCCUGGGAAACUGGGUCUAAUACCGGAUAGGACUCCUGGCUUCAUGGUUGGGGGUGGAAAGCUUUUGCGGUGUGGGAGGGGCCCGCGGCCUAUCAGCUUGUUGGUGGGGUAAUGGCCUACCAAGGCGACGACGGGUAGCCGGCCUGAGAGGGUGACCGGUCACACUGGGACGGAGAUAGCGCCCAGACUCCUACGGGAGGCAGCAGUGGGGAAUAUUGCACAAUGGGCGCAAGCCUGAUGCAGCGACGCCGGGUGAGGGAGGACGGCCUUCGGGUUGUAAACCGCUUUCAGCUAUGACGAAGCGCAAGUGACGGUAGUCGCAGAAGAAGGACCGGCCAACUACGUGCCAGCCGCCGCCGUAA
rnacentral:rRNA from 1 species